CAUGGGGUCACAAAGAGUCAGACACGACUGAGCGACUGAACAGCAACAAUCCAAUAAAAUUACUGGAGCACAGGAAGGUUUUGGAUGAGAGAGAGAGGCAAGCACCAUGAGGAAUUCCUUGGUUAACUGCUGUUAUCUGCUGCUUGGACUUCUAGGCUUUGGAAUGGGGUGGACACCAUUGACCAAACAGUUGACACAGGUGCAGGUAGGGAGUUUCUGUUUCGUCCUUGAGAAGGAAGCUGUGUUGGAAGACACCUCUAAGUCUCUCUACCCUCAUUGACUUCCUCCUCUCUACCAAGGAAGAAUAUUUUCUGGUUAAUGAAAUUGGAUCAGAGUUACGACAAAGAAGACAAGUCACAAAGCCUGGGCCACCGCCCUUGCCUGCUCACGGCAAAGUGAUUACACCCCUUCUGUGAACUGCAGAUUCUUCCCCAGUACAGAGAUGGCAGCAGCUUUGACCAACCUCCUGGACCUGGCUUGGAUGAGGAAAUAUGCUUUUAGGAUAUUUCUUUACAGGGCUUUCCCAAUAGCUCAGUUGGUAAAGAAU